rnacentral:rRNA from 1 species
AUACGGAGGGAGCGAGCGUUAAUCGGAAUUACUGGGCGUAAAGCGCGCGUAGGCGGCUUUGUAAGUCGGAUGUGAAAGCCCUGGGCUUAACCUGGGAAUGGCAUUCGAUACUGCAGAGCUAGAGUAUGGUAGAGGGAAGUGGAAUUUCCGGUGUAGCGGUGAAAUGCGUAGAUAUCGGAAGGAACACCAGUGGCGAAGGCGACUUCCUGGGCCAAUACUGACGCUGAGGUGCGAAAGCGUGGGGAGCAAACAGGAUUAGAAACCCGGGUAGUCC